AUCUCUGUGUCAGGGUGAUCGAGCAGCUUGGAGGUAAACAGCUGGUGAUGAACCACAUGCACCAUGAAGAUCAGCUGGUCCGCUACAACGCCCUGCUGGCCGUGCAGAAACUCAUGGUCCACAACUGGGAGUACCUGGGGAAGCAGCUCCAGUCGUCUGACCAGCAGCAGCAACAGGCUGUGGCCACCAGGAGCUGAUCUCUGACCCCUGACCCCUGACCCCUGCAUGGAACCCACUCUGUGUCUGGGUUUGCAUACAUGUACUGGGGUAUACAUGCAUACCAGUAUAUGUACUGUAUGUGUGGCUGUGUGUGUGUAUCUAUGUACAUCGUCCAAUGAAAACUGGACAGUUGAUCCAGGUAAUUAUGUCAGGAGUUGAUGUGUAAAAGGUGUUUCUUACCUGUCUAUUCUCCUCCACUCUGGCUGUAUGUUGAUUUCCUGGUCGUGCUACAGUAUAUUAUGUCAUGUGUCCUCACAGCUAUGUGAUGUAAGGUGAUUUAAAUAGCACUUGGUGUUGUGAUCAAUAUAAAAUGGCUCAAGUUAUUUGUGUCGUGUGUAAAACAUUGUGAGUAUCCAAUAAAACUAAUCUAGAUGGUC